rnacentral:rRNA from 1 species
GGGGAAUUUUCCGCAAUGGGCGAAAGCCUGACGGAGCAAUACCGCGUGAGGGAGGAAUGCCUUUGGGUUGUAAACCUCUUUUCUCAGGGAAGAAGAUCUGACGGUACCUGAGGAAUAAGUAUCGGCUAACUCCGUGCCAGCAGCCGCGGUAAUACGGAGGAUGCAAGCGUUAUCCGGAAUCAUUGGGCGUAAAGCGUCCGCAGGUGGUUUUCAAAGUCUGCUGUUAAAGACUGGAGCUCAACUCCGGAAAGGCGGUGGAAACUUGGAAACUAGAGUUCGGUAGGGGUAGCAGGAAUUCCCAGUGUAGCGGUGAAAUGCGUAGAUAUUGGGAAGAACAUCGGUGGCGAAGGCGUGCUACUGGACCGCAACUGACACUCAGGGACGAAAGCUAGGGGAGCGAAAGGGAUUAGAUACCCCUGUAGUCCUAGCUGUAAACGAUGGAAACUAGGUGUGGCUUG